UACGAAGGGGGCUAGCGUUGUUCGGAAUUACUGGGCGUAAAGCGCACGUAGGCGGACAUUUUAAGUCAGGGGUGAAAUCCCGGGGCUCAACCCCGGAACGGCCUUUGAUACUGGGUGUCUUGAGUUCGGAAGAGGUGAGUGGAAUUGCGAGUGUAGAGGUGAAAUUCGUAGAUAUUCGCAGGAACACCAGUGGCGAAGGCGGCUCACUGGUCCGAUACUGACGCUGAGGUGCGAAAGCGUGGGGAGCAAACAGGG
rnacentral:rRNA from 1 species